UCUAGCUCCCGCGUCAUCCCGGCGGAGGCCGGGAUCUCGGGAGGCUCUUGCGACCAGCUUCUCUCCCCUCUCCCGAGACCCCGGCCUCCGCCGGGGUGACGAGGAGAAA
rnacentral:pre_miRNA from 1 species